rnacentral:tRNA from 1 species
GGGGUUGUGGCUCAGUGGUAAAGUGCUUGCCUUGCAUGCAUGAGUCACUGGGUUCAAUCCUCAGCACCACA